CCUACGGGAGGCAGCAGUAGGGAAUAUUGCUCAAUGGGGGAAACCCUGAAGCAGCAACGCCGCGUGGAGGAUGAAGGUUUUCGGAUUGUAAACUCCUUUUGUUAGAGAAGAUAAUGACGGUAUCUAACGAAUAAGCACCGGCUAACUCCGUGCCAGCAGCCGCGGUAAUACGGAGGGUGCAAGCGUUACUCGGAAUCACUGGGCGUAAGGAGCGCGUAGGCGGGAUAGCAAGUCAGAUGUGAAAUCCUAUGGCUUAACCAUAGAACUGCAUUUGAAACUGUUAUGCUAGAGUAUGGGAGAGGGAGGUGGAAUUCUUGGUGUAGGAGUAAAAUCCGUAGAGAUCAAGAGGAAUACUCAUUGCGAAGGCGACCUGCUAGAACAUAACUGACGCUGAUGCGCGAAAGCGUGGGGAGCAAACAGGAUUAGAUACCCUAGUAGUC
rnacentral:rRNA from 1 species